rnacentral:rRNA from 1 species
GAGAUCGGGAGAGGGAUGUAGAAUUCCAGGUGUAGCGGUGAAAUGCGUAGAUAUCUGGAGGAAUACCGGUGGCGAAGGCGGCAUCCUGGACCAUUACUGACACUGAACCGCGAAAGCUAGGGGAGCAAACGGGAUUAGAUACCCCGGUAGUCCUAGCCCUAAACGAUGAAUACUUGGUGUGGCGGGUAUCGAUCCCUGCCGUGCCGAAGCUAACGCAUUAAGUAUUCCGCCUGGGGAGUACGGUCGCAAGGCUGAAACUUAAAUGAAUUGACGG